UACGUAGGGGGCUAGCGUUGUCCGGAUUUAUUGGGCGUAAAGAGCGUGUAGGCGGCCAGGUAGGUCUGCUGUGAAAACUCGAGGCUUAACCUCGAGAUGUCAUCGGAAACCAUCUGGCUAGAGUCCGGAAGAGGAAAGUGGAAUUCCUGGUGUAGCGGUGAAAUGCGCAGAUAUCAGGAAGAACACCAAUGGCGAAAGCAGCUUUCUGGGACGGUACUGACGCUGAGACGCGAAAGCGUGGGGAGCGAACAGG
rnacentral:rRNA from 1 species